GCCAUUCCAGACAGUGAUGGAAAAGAUAGGUAAUUCUAACUAACUGAUGAUCAGAACUGAUUAACUCUGAGGGUGAUAGGUGGUAGCUUCCUCGUUUGUGCCACACCUGAAACCAGUCGAGUGGUGAAGUUGUCAGACCAGGCACUUCUCUAUGAGACAUGGGACCGACUGGACUAUAAAUGUGGACAAUACAAUUCUUUUGUAGAGGUUUUUUGACAACUGCUCUGGGUUGUUUGAAGUCCAACACUAAAAUACUUGACUGAAUCUUCCAUGGAAUCAUCUUGAAUAUGGACAAUACUCAAAUCGAUUGCCUUUGUUGUUACUGACAGACUGAAAAGAGAUAUACUAUGACUCUGCAACAGUUCAUGGCAACUAAGACUAGGAAGAUAUUAUAAAAUACUGAACUAAAAGGUUGAAGCAUAUCAAAACAGCUACAGCCAGUACUGCGGUGAACACCACCUCAGCUGAGGGACAGCACAAGACUUUUUUUCUCUUUUGAGUUUUUUUUGCCUUUUCAUGCCUUUAUUUGAUAGACAGGAAAGGGGGGUAGAGCAAGAGGGGAUGACACACAGCUAAAUGCCACAGGUUGGAUUCAAACCUGGGCAGCUGCAGCAACUCCGUAGAUGGGUUGGCUGCUCUACCGACUGAGCCAACCGGGCGCCCAACACAAGACUUUCAAUGACAGCAAUAUGUUGUCACAGAACUGUACAAAACAGUGGAUGUUCUUGUCAGAUUGGCAUCUUUGGUCAACCCAAUUAGGAUCUUAUUUAAAAAUCUUUUUAGUUUCUGUGGAAGCAAAUGACAAGAAGAAGAUUCAACAACACAUGGAAUAUUGGCGAUCACUCUAAAAUGACAACAGGAUUAAUUGUUACAACUCUACAAACAGGGAGGCAACGUCUCCAGCAACACGCCCUCAUCUUUGGGCGAAGGAUCGGCGCAGCAGAGUUAUUUAGCCAUAUUCCGCCAUUUUGAAACAUCAUGUUUCUACAGUAGCCCAGCAUCGACAUACCGAAGACUGGCUUCACAUUGGGACCUUUUACA